GCCAGCAGCUAAAUCACCCUGCAAAUUACAGCUGGCGGCCCCACUGAAGCCCAGCAGGUGUGAGCCUGGCCAGUACCUGGAUGGGAGACCUCCUGGGAAAGCUAAGGCUGCUGCUGGUA
rnacentral:rRNA from 1 species